UCCUCCAUGAUUACGUUUUGAUACCGAGUUCGUUGAUUUAUGUGGCGAAUUUAGGUGGAUUUGUGAGGGUUUCUGUUUAAUGUUGAGAGGGCUUUGCUACGAAUCGAAGGGCUAUGUAGGAAUCGCAGGCUUGUUGAUGGUUUUGCAUGCCGGGUGAUUAGUUGUGCUUCGAUUUGUAUCAGAUAGGGAUAGGCGAACACAAUUGUGCGAGAUGGGAAGGCAACCCAUUGGUGCGAAGCAUAAAUUGGUAACGAAGAAGCUCUCUAUUCUCUAACCUGUCCUCACAAGCCUUCAUCAGCAGUAUGGCAGAAGAGCUCCUGGCCCCGGCAGGCUGCCAAGGGUGUGAUACCUACCCAAUCUUCUGAAUAUGAUAAUAUCAGCAAAGAGAGCUGUCUUACUAGUUUCCAUUACGACCCAAGAAAGGGACCGAGACAACAUUGGAGCACUGUAUCCUGUGCCUUUAAUAUCCCCAUUGUACAUCAAACCUGUCCACUGACUGUUGAUUCACAUGAUUAUUUUGAGUAAAUUACAGAAAAUCACUUUUUCUUGUUUUCACAGCUGCAGAAAAGCCCACAUUCUCUUGUAAUGGUGCUUAACCACAUGUAUGCACAUAACAAUGAUUUAACAUCCAUGUAUCUGGUCUACCAAUAUCCAUUUCUUUCUUCAUUUCCAUUGUUAGGUCAGCACAGCCUACACUUGCUAGAACUCAUUUUGCAUACAUAACUUCACUAUAUAUUGUUUGUUACCUUCAUGUGUCUACAAUGUUGUAGUUUAGAUCAUAGUGAAAUCCAAAUUUUUUCAAUUCAAAUUUUUUGGAGGAUGUGAAAUUAUGUUGCCCAAUGGAAGAUGAUACCAUGUCAAACCUUUUUUUGGCCAUUUGUGGUUCAAUAUCAUUAUGACUCUUACAAGCAUGUACAUAAUUCUAUAUGCUGCAUUAAGUAUGUUGACGAUUUGUGAACUGUCGAUCUAA